GCCUGGGUGGCUCAGUCGGUUGAGUGUCUGGCUUCAGCUCAGGUCAUGAUCUCACAGUUCGUGGGUUCGAGCCCCACAUCGAGCU
rfam:Felis catus isolate Cinnamon breed Abyssinian chromosome B4, whole genome shotgun sequence.